rnacentral:rRNA from 1 species
AUUGAACGCUGGCGGCAUGCCUUACACAUGCAAGUCGAACGGUAACGCGGGGCAACCUGGCGACGAGUGGCGAACGGGUGAGUAAUGUAUCGGAACGUGCCCAGUUGUGGGGGAUAACUGCUCGAAAGAGCAGCUAAUACCGCAUACGACCUGAGGGUGAAAGCGGGGGAUCGCAAGACCUCGCGCAAUUGGAGCGGCCGAUAUCAGAUUAGGUAGUUGGUGGGGUAAAGGCUCACCAAGCCAACGAUCUGGAACUGGUCUGAGAGGACGACCAGCCACACUGGGACUGAGACACGGCCCAGACUCCUACGGGAGGCAGCAGUGGGGAAUUUUGGACAAUGGACGCAAGUCUGAUCCAGCCAUGCCGCGUGCGGGAAGAAGGCCUUCGGGUCGUAAAGCGCUUUUGUCUGGGAGCAAAUCCUGGCCUCUAAUACAGGUCGGGGAUGAGAGUACCAGAAGAAUAAGGACCGGCUAACUACGUGCCAGCAGCCGCCGUAAUAC